rnacentral:rRNA from 1 species
GGGGAAUUUUCCGCAAUGGGCGAAAGCCUGACGGAGCAAUACCGCGUGCGGGACGAAGGCUUUUGGGUCGUAAACCGCUUUUGUUAGGGAAGAACACAAUGACGGUACCUAACGAAUCAGCAUCGGCUAACUCCGUGCCAGCAGCCGCGGUAAUACGGAGGAUGCAAGCGUUAUCCGGAAUUAUUGGGCGUAAAGCGUCCGCAGGUGGUUUAUCAAGUCUGCUGUUAAAUCGUAGGGCUUAACCCUAUAAAGGCAGUGGAAACUGAGAGACUAGAGUACGGUAGGGGUAGCGGGAAUUCCCAGUGUAGCGGUGAAAUGCGUAGAUAUUGGGAAGAACACCAGCGGCGAAGGCGCGCUACUGGGCCGAAACUGACACUCAUGGACGAAAGCUAGGGGAGCGAAAGGGAUUAGAUACCCCUGUAGUCCUAGCUGUAAACGAUGACAACUAGGUGUUGCGCGUAUCGACCCGUGCAGUGCCGUAGCUAACGCGUUAAGUUGUC